GGAGGCAGCAGUGGGGAAUAUUGCACAAUGGGGGAAACCCUGAUGCAGCGACGCAGCGUGCGGGAUGACGGCCUUCGGGUUGUAAACCGCUUUCAGCAGGGAAGAAGCCGUAAGGUGACGGUACCUGCAGAAGAAGCACCGGCUAACUACGUGCCAGCAGCCGCGGUAAUACGUAGGGUGCGAGCGUUGUCCGGAAUUAUUGGGCGUAAAGAGCUCGUAGGUGGUUGGUCACGUCUGCUGUGGAAACGCAACGCUUAACGUUGCGCGUGCAGUGGGUACGGGCUGACUAGAGUGCAGUAGGGGAGUCUGGAAUUCCUGGUGUAGCGGUGAAAUGCGCAGAUAUCAGGAGGAACACCGGUGGCGAAGGCGGGUCUCUGGGCUGUAACUGACGCUGAGGAGCGAAAGCAUGGGGAGCGAACAGGAUUAGAUACCCUGGUAGUCCAUGCCGUAAACGUUGGGCACUAGGUGUGGGGGACAUUCCACGUUCUCCGUGCCGUAGCUAACGCAUUAAGUGCCCCGCCUGGGGAGUACGGCCGCAAGGCUAAAACUCAAAGGAAUUGACGGGGGCCCGCACAAGCGGCGGAGCAUGCGGAUUAAUUCGAUGCAACGCGAAGAACCUUACCAAGGCUUGACAUACACCAGACCGUUCUGGAAACAGUUCUUCUCUUUGGAGCUGGUGUACAGGUGGUGCAUGGUUGUCGUCAGCUCGUGUCGUGAGAUGUUGGGUUAAGUCCCGCAACGAGCGCAACCCUCG
rnacentral:rRNA from 1 species